rnacentral:rRNA from 1 species
CUACGGAGGGUGCAAGCGUUGUUCGGAAUCACUGGGCGUAAAGGGCGCGCAGGCGGUUUGGUAAGUCAGAUGUGAAAGCCCACGGCUCAACCGUGGAAGUGCAUUUGAAACUGCCAGACUUGAGUACCAGAGGGGAAAGUGGAAUUCCCGGUGUAGAGGUGAAAUUCGUAGAUAUCGGGAGGAAUACCGGUGGCGAAGGCGACUUUCUGGCUGGAUACUGACACUGAGGCGCGAAAGCGUGGGGAGCAAACAGGAUUAGAAACCCUAGUAGUCC